AGAGUUUGUUAUGGCUCAGGACGAACGCUGGCCGCGUGCCUAAUACAUGCAGUCGAACGAAGCUUUCUUUCACCGAAUGCUUGCAUUCACCGAAAGAAGCUUAGUGGCGAACGGGUGAGUAACACGUAGGCAACCUGCCCAAAAGAGGGGGAUAACACUUGGAAACAGGUGCUAAUACCGCAUAACCAUGGACACCGCAUGAUGUUCAUGUAAAAGACGGCUUUUGCUGUCACUUUUGGAUGGGCCUGCGGCGUAUUAACUUGUUGGUGGGGUAACGGCCUACCAAGGUGAUGAUACGUAGCCGAACUGAGAGGUUGAUCGGCCACAUUGGGACUGAGACACGGCCCAAACUCCUACGGGAGGCAGCAGUAGGGAAUCUUCCACAAUGGACGAAAGUCUGAUGGAGCAACGCCGCGUGAAUGAAGAAGGCCUUCGGGUCGUAAAAUUCUGUUGUCAGAGAAGAACGUGCGUGAGAGUAACUGUUCACGUAUUGACGGUAUCUGACCAGAAAGCCACGGCUAACUACGUGCCAGCAGCCGCGGUAAUACGUAGGUGGCAAGCGUUGUCCGGAUUUAUUGGGCGUAAAGGGAACGCAGGCGGUCUUUUAAGUCUGAUGUGAACGCCUUCGGCUUAACCGAAGUAGUGCAUUGGAAACUGGAAGACUUGAGUGCAGAAGAGGAGAGUGGAACUCCAUGUGUAGCGGUG
rnacentral:rRNA from 1 species